CCUGCCUUCCUGCCUGGCGAUUGUCUGCCGGGGCUGGUGGAAAGGGAGCGAGCGGGGAGGCAGGAAGGCCGCAGCUGCACACACACACACACACACACACACACACACACACACAGUGGGGUUCAGAGAAGCUCAGGGACCUUCUGUGAAUUCCUCGAUCCCUUCUCAAACAUCCUCCGUCAGCCUAAGGCUCAAACCUGCCCAUCAACCUUUGGCAUACAGGUACAUAGAAAAUAUACACAAGGUACCAAAAUGCAUCCAGGCAGAAGGCAGAAUCCUCCAGGCAGGUUUGCACGCGUGAGAGAGAGAAUGGACACAGAGCAUCCCAAUGGAUGCACACAAAUCGGCAGAUAGAGAAGCCGCACGGAAAGCAAAGAAGAAAAGAAGAAAAGGCGGUGAACAAAGGAGCCAGCCUUGAACUAGAGACGCUGAGGGUCAAUGCCAAAGCCAACACAAUCCCUUCUCUGGCCAGGCCAAGCCUUCCCGGCCCCACCAGAGUCACCUACCCAAAAGAAGCUCCAAUCUUCACUCCCUAACCAGCCUCUUUCCCCCAGCUUAGACAACCAUCUGGAAGGCUGCAGCUGGGGAGAUGCCAACGCUGGGGAGAACCAUUGGUGGUCCUCCUGGCCUGGAAUGCUACCAAUGCAUAAACUGCACUUUAGGAGUCUGGGGGAUCUCAAUUGGACCCCUGAGGCGCUUUCAGUGGAUGGGAUGGUUCUGAAGCUGUGUGCAUGGAGAUGUAUUCCGCCUAUACGCAGGGUGUUCUCAAGAGGAUGGGUUCCACCAUGCACAAGGUGGAUACCCUCACACUACGAACGUGGCGUUAUGUAUCCCAUCGUGGCCUCUGUUGGCUUCCCCAGGCUCACAAGAAGACCUGCUGCUCGUUGGUUCAAGCACCUCCCUUGCGUGCUAUAAGAGAGGCCAGCCUUGGUCCUGGUCACUUCUGGAGAAGAAGCCUUGUGGAGCAGAAACUAAAAGACCAGCUUCUCUUCCCCACAAACCAGCUUUCUAACCAUGGCUGUGCGUGAAGGGGGUUGCAUCUCCAUGGGUUUUGAAGGUGCCAAGUUGGCGACUGCUGGCCUCAAAACCUGAUUUAGAGGCUGGGCCCCAAUCGUUUGUUUAAUCGUAACAUACUAAGAUAAUCCAUACUUUACAGUCACAAUGGAUAGGUUAAGGUGCUGUGGACAGAAGAAGAGAUUGGAGAACCGUAUGUCUGAAACGGGACAGGUCUCCUGCUUGAGCAGGGAGUUGGACUAGAACAGGGGUUGGCAACUUUAAACACUCAAAGAGCCAUUUGGACCCGUUUCCCACAGAAAAGAAAACACCGGGAGCCACAAAGAUCCUAACCGGAAGUGCCCCGUUCAAUUCUGGAGCUGACCGGAAGUCCAAUUUCCCCACCGUAGACUCUCCUCAUAGCGCGGCAUCCUUUUUCCUCUACCUGUCCUAACUGAAAGCCCUAUCAAUUGUGGAGCCGACCAGAAAACCUGCCCCUUGCCAUAGAGUUUCCCCCCACCCGCCAACUGGAAGGUCCUCUCAAAAUUGUGGCACUGACCGGCGACAGGGAGCUGCAACAGAGGGAUGAAAGAGCCACAUGCGGCUCCAGAGGUUGCUGACCCCUGGACUAGAUGAUCUCCAAGAUCCCUUCCAACUCUUUUGUUAUGCUGCAUUUCAGCCUAAGGGUGAGCCUUCGGGCAUGUGUGUUUCCCACCCCGGUUCAAUUGUUUGGGGAAGGAAGAGCAAACACCCCACGCUUGCAUUGAUUAGGACAGUCCAUUGUUCGCCCACAGUGAAUAAGUAAGUACCUUUUAAAUCCAAGGAGAAAGAUAUCAAAAUAAGACGGAAUGCUGUCCAAUCCCCUCCUGCGAGGGGGAAGGGGCUUAAAUAAAUGUAAAAAGAGACAAUUGGAUUGCUUUUGCUAAAGGAUGGGGAGGAAAGAGACCGGCAGCCCCGGGAGGAGGAAAUCUGGAGUGAUCCAAUUCCCUUUGUGGUACAGUAAAUAAUUCUUUAUUACACUUUGAUGUAUCUUUCCCCUAAUGACUUUUAAGGGCAACACAAUAAAAUUGAAAAAAAAAAAAAAGGGGGGGGGGGGAAGAGAAGGGCUGCAAGGAACAAAUGCUUAAUAUUCAAUAAAUGUGUCAAUUUCACAUAGAGAGGCAAAUGGGCCUCUAUUGAGGAAUUGGUAAAUUUCCUUGGAGGAAAGUAAGUGCAUUUUAGCCUUCAAGGGGUCCCCAGCGAAAUGGAAAUGGAAUGUGAUUUGUGAUAAAACUCAGCUGCUCCAUAAAAGACAUUAAAUAAAUGUUGCUCUUUCA